CACAGUCCAUAGUCAUUCAGACCCGACUAUGGCCCCUCAUGGCUCACAGAGAAACAAAGGGUACAAGUCCAACCAGGUUAGCACAAGGACACUAUUCAUCACUAAUGAACACUCAUGGUCCCAGACUGACAGCACAGCUAUUACCUCAAAUGUUGCUGGUCAUCGUGGCAAGAGGAAGUGAGACUGGUCAGCUACAACUGGCCUGGCCUGAAGACAAGGCUAAAGAAUUACAGAGGAAGCUGUAUCCAAAGUGGACACCAUUGCCUCUGACAGAAAGAAGCUCAAAUGUUACAUUCAACAAAAAAUAUGUGACAGCUUUUAUAUAUAGUUCCAUUAGUUGGAGUUUUAAUAUUUAUGUGUUGUAGUAGAAGUUCUUUUCUUACUUCUGCAUUCUUUCCAGUGAAAUAGAAAUGCAAGGGCAUCAGUGGAGGAGGAGAGAGAUGGUACAAAACAGUUGAUAUUGAGUCUUUUUAUCCAUGAACAUUGUAUCACUCUCUAUUUCACUCUUUUUUUCCAAUAAGAUUUAACAGUUUUCUGUAUAAAAGUCCUAAACA